ACGCUCGACACCUACGGGAGCCAGCAGUGGGGAAUAUUGCACAAUGGGGGAAACCCUGAUGCAGCGACGCCGCGUGGAGGAAGAAGGUCUUCGGAUUGUAAACUCCUGUUGUUGGGGAAAAGAGGAUGGUACCCAACAAGGAAGUGACGGCUAACUACGUGCCAACAGCCGCGGUAAUCUGAGCGGGCUGGCAAGGC
rnacentral:rRNA from 1 species